UGUUGUGAUGGAUAAGAGGAAGCUUCCAUAUAAACAAUCUGUCUCUCUACAUCAACCAUAUCUUUGUCAAGCUUUUCUCCUUCCAAAAUAAGAGUUAUGUGACAGAAUAACUUCGGUGUA